CUGGAAGAAAACUCCUGCAUACAUGUGUGCUGAUGUGAGUUGCAGAAAUCAGGAAUGGCAACACUGGAGACACAGCUCAGUCUGAAUGGCCCAUAAGCAAUUCCCACUGGAUGAGUGAGACCAGACUGAAGUUGUUCUGAAAGAAGUUGUGAGAUGUGUUUUUCUUCAGAAAAUAUAAAAUCUAUCAGAGCAAAAGAAAAUUGAUGCUUCCACAUAUCCGUUAGGUGAACUGGUCAAGUACAGCCAUCCCAAUGGGAAAAUUCUGUCACAUAUCAGCACUUCUGGACUUCUCA
rnacentral:lncRNA from 1 species